rnacentral:lncRNA from 1 species
UCUAUGUAGUCUCGGCUGGCCUGGAACAAAGAAAUCCACUUGUCUCUGCCUUACAAGCCUGCACUACCACACCCAGCCAAGGUCUAGAUUCUGAGUCUAGCUACAGGCGGCUCCAUGUUCCUAAUUCUCACCUGAAGGUGGUUGAAGGAUUGGUGGUUAGUGGCCAGAAGCUACCACCACAGGGGCUUCAUGAAGGAUGUGGUAGCAUACGUAAGUGAAGAACGUCCUAGGUGAGAGGCCGGUCACCUUGUCUUACAAGUGCGGGCAAGGGGAAAACACGCCCUGAGAUCAUUGUAUGAAGCAAGAGAAAUGAGUGGUGGUAGAUUAUCUUCCCAGGUCCACCCUGGUGGGAGUUCCAGUCAGGCUGCCACGGGUCUGGUCCUCACGUGAGACCCCAGUGUUUGUGAGGAGCAGCCUGAGGACUCUCUAUGUGGGUUUGGAGCCAUGAGACCUGCCAGUUUCCCCAACAUCCCUCUCUUCGCCAGCCCCGACCCUGUCCUUGACCAAGAUGGUGAAUUUGACCUGGAUGAGACCAUGGAUGUUGCCAGGCAUGUGGAGGAACUUUUACGCCGGCCCAUGGACAGUCUUGACCCCCGCCUUUCCCCACCUGCUGGCCUCUUCACUUCUGCCAGAAGCUCCUUGUCCUGAACGCUGGACUCCAUGCUUCUCUUGGAAAAGCACCUUCAGUGUGAAGAACCCGUGUCAGUUGUAUCCCUGUUCAUACCAGUGGCUUUGCACCUUCGCAGUUCCGCCUUGCCCACAGUGCGGG